UCUCUCUCUCUCUCUGAUUCCCACAUGGCUUCCGAAUCUCAAAUCUUAAUGAUUUAAGGGAUACUCUCGCUGCAUAUUCCAACAUCUUCUCUUCUGCUUUGGUUUUUUCGUUGUUUCGUGUUUGAGUUUUUGUGCAUUUGGCUUGAACUUGUGCUGGUAGUUACUAGCUUAGUUGCGAGUUUGGUUUCCGUUAGUUGGAUGAUGAUCGUUGCUUAAACUUGUUCUUGUUGUGGAUCUGCUUCGUUCGCUAGUUUCCUUCGCUUAAUUUUUCAAAUCAAAUAGCGUAAAUCUUUAUUUCCAUUCUUCUGGUGAUGGAUGACGUUUUUCGUUUUUUAUUGACGCAUUAAAUGAUCGAUUCCGGUUUCGUUCUCUUCCUUUUAUAGUCAAAGAGAUUUCAAAUUCUGCUUCAUUCUCCAAACACAACGUUUUAGUCGGCUCUGUAUCUUUUCGGCCGCGAGUCCCGGUGUUGUGAUUGCCAGAACUUUUGUCAUCAGAAACAGUGAGAACCCUAUUUGGACACAGCAUUUCAAUGUCCCCGUUGCACAUCUUCCUUCUGAAGUUCACUUUGUUGUCAAGGACAGUGAUAUUGUGGGUUCUCAGAUUAUUGGAGCUGUGGAACAUUUAUGUAGUGGAACAAGAGUGGAGGGCUUUUUCCCCAUCCUUGGUGCUAAUGGGAAACCAUGUAAGGGUGGAUCAGUGUUGAGUUUAUCCAGAGAACAAGCCUCAGGCCUUUUUUUUCCAGUAGUAUAUAGUUCCUGAAAUAUUGCAGCAUCAAUAUUACAUUUCACGAACCCAAAAGGAGGAGGAUUUCACUUUGCAGACUUUCGUUGUUCGAACUCGAGCUGAGGUGCUGCUGUCAUGGAGGCUCUGCCACUCAAAGACUUGUUGGGUUGAUUGCUGCAGGCACAUAUUUAAUGGUUUCUCUUUAUCAUCCCAAACCUUGUUAUUGCGCCUCUUCCAGGGUGUCCAUAAUGCGGAGACAAAAACUUCAGUAUUUGGAUAUAUACGAUUGUCUUCAUUAUCUACCACUAUGCUUUUAUGAGAGCAUUAUUAUUAAUUUCUUGAUUAACAUUAUUACACUGUGAGUUAUAUAACUAACCAGUUUUGGA